rnacentral:rRNA from 1 species
GACGAACGCUGGCGGCGUGCUUAACACAUGCAAGUCGAACGGAAAGGCCCUGCUUUUGUGGGGUGCUCGAGUGGCGAACGGGUGAGUAGCACGUGAGUAACCUGCCCUUGACUUUGGGAUAACUUCAGGAAACUGGGGCUAAUACCGGAUAGGAGCUCCUGCUGCAUGGUGGGGGUUGGAAAGUUUCGGCGGUUGGGGAUGGACUCGCGGCUUAUCAGCUUGUUGGUGGGGUAGUGGCUUACCAAGGCUUUGACGGGUAGCCGGCCUGAGAGGGUGACCGGCCACCUGGGGCCUGAGGUACGGAGCAGUAUCGUAUGGGAGGCAGCAGGGGGGAAUAUUGCGGAGUGGGCGGAAGCCUGAUGCAGCAACGCCGCGAGCGGGAUGAUGGCCUACGAGGUGUAAACCGCUUUGGCCGGAGACGAAGCGGGAGUGACGGUAACGGGUAAGGAAGCACCGGCUAACUACGUG